AUGUCUGAAAUGUGCUUCUGGUUAGAGAAGCACAUGGGGUCCUCGUGCUUGUGCCAUUCCCUAGCAAACCGCGGCUGUGCAGGCGAGAUGUCCAGCGCAAGCUCCGGCAAGUGCCAAACACUUGGCCCCAGCAGACCUGAUCCAGAUCACACCACGGCACCUCCAAAACCACAGCACUGCACGUACCCUACCCAUUGUAUACCAUCACAGGCCACCGUGUCGGCGCCAGCUUUACCCUUGGACUAUAAAUCCAUGGCUAAAUGCCCUCCUAACACCACCACUUCAUCCACAGACAAAAGGCAAUUCCAGAUGGCCAAGAACCUCGCUCAGCUGGCCAAGAAGUGGCAGAGGGUGGUGGCUAUGGGGAGGAAGAGGCUCACCUCAUCAACAUCAGGGGAGGAAACCGGAGGGCCGUGUGGCACGUCGUGCUUGCCUGUGGCUGGCAAGGGUCACUUCGUCGUGUACACUACCGACGGUGCGAGGUUCGAGGUGCCGCUUGCAUUCCUUGGCACGACCGUCUUCGACGAGCUCUUGAGGAUGUCCCAAGAGGAGUUCGGCUUCACAGGCGUUGAUGGUGGCAGAAUCAGGCUGCCCUGUGACGCAUCAAUGAUGGAGUAUGCCAUGUUCUUGCUCAGGAGAACUGCGUCCUCAGAGAUGGAGGCCGCAUUCCUCAACACCAUGGUGAUGCCAUGCCACUAUCAUGCGGAGCUACAUCUCGGAGUUAGCCAGCAUUAUGAUGUCUGCAGCUCCUGA
rnacentral:rRNA from 1 species